rnacentral:lncRNA from 1 species
UUUUAGUCGGUUAAAGCAUUUGAUGCGUUGUAAUAGUGAACUAAACUUUCUCAUAUUAAUAGUGGCUGUUUGGUGGCAAAUAAUGAAUGGCGUGGUUGGUGCUUUAACCAGAAAAUAUAUGUGAUGAGAUGAUAGGUAACAUGAUUGGUUCCCCACUUCUCAGUUUUCACCUCCCUCACAAAAAGUUAUAGCCAAUAUUGUCAUCAUAAAUCAUAAAUCUCAGCUAGAGUUAGCUAUGCCAUUAUUUCUAAUAGUACAAAAUUACAAAUGCUGCACUUUAUAUCUUCGAAUCGUCAUCGUCGUCAUAAUAUUAUUGUACCAUUAUCUUUCAGUGUUGAGCUAGCUUUUCACGUGCCAAAUCACAUAAUAGCGGUGUGUGGUCUAGUUGAUGAUAUGACCAGAAAAAAUUAGGCCAUAUAGUUUAUUUUAGUCGAAUGAAUUAACGAAUAAUCUAACUUCACUUUUACAACAAAUUAAGUGAUUUUUUUAUUUCAAAUAUUUAAAGAAUAUCAAUGAGAGCAAAUUAAUACAAAUGAAAGCGGGUUAAACACCAAACUCGUCCCCGUCCUCAAACCUAGAUCCACCCUCGACUUUAAAUCUAAUAAGGUAGUAAGAUUUAAGUUAGUUGAUGGAGUUUGUAAAAUAAACUAUAUAUAUUUUGAUGUAUGUAAAAAAUGUUAAAUUUAACAUUUUGCUAAGUAAUUUUUUUUAUUUGAGAUAUUUAAAGAGUAUCUAAUAAGUAUACGGUUAAUGUAAGAGUAUUUGGAUAAGAUAAAAAAUAUAUUUUAGAUUUAUUUUAAUGUUUAGGAUAAAAUCUCUU